UCCGGUUUGUCACCGGCAGUCCCAUUAGAGUGCUCAACUGAAUGUAGCAACUAAUGGCAAGGGUUGCGCUCGUUGCGGGACUUAACCCAACAUCUCACGACACGAGCUGACGACAGCCAUGCAGCACCUGUGUCUAGGUUCCCUUUCGGGCACUCCUACAUCUCUGCAGGAUUCCUAGCAUGUCAAGGGUAGGUAAGGUGGGGAUGACGUUUAGGAGCUCGAC
rnacentral:misc_RNA from 1 species